ACGGUGUUUAGUGUAGAAAUUUAUAAAUAUAUCUACCGAGUCAUCUGAAGUGUUGUUCACAUACUGGCCCAGGACACCACAGCGACAACAUCUGUUGGUACUCCGGAAAACAGAGGGAGAUACAGACAGGGUAACUAACCCCCGGGGACGGACGACGUCAUUCCCUCCCCGGGGGCCGGGAUGAGAUACAUCUACACAGAGAGGGGAUUGGAUGUCACAGAAAUUACAGUUUAAGUAAACCAGAGCUGUUGGGGAAGUCACUUGUAGAAGUUAUGGCUGGGAUUUUGAGUAUAAUUAAUCACAUCCAGAAUUCACCACCACAAAACAUGAACUGUGGAAGUGCACAUAAAGUUAAGACUGUAUGACUAUUUGUAUUGAGUUUGAACAUGCUCUUGUAUGCCAGAUUGGACUACCUUACCUGUCAACAAAGAAGGGUUGCUGGUCAUGCGCGAUAGACGACAAGGAAUGAUCGACCAAUCGUAUGUACCCCCACGUGCGUUAAACAUGCACAGAUUAUAUAAAAACACUGCAGACUUCUUCACAUGGAAAUAUUUAGUUUAUGAAUCCAUACCGUUUGAUAUCGUUUAUCAAUUGUUCAGUAGUGGAUGUGUA